rnacentral:rRNA from 1 species
AUAUCGCGACGUAGUUGAUCAUGGCUCGAGGACGAACGCUGGCGGCAUGCUUAACACAUGCAAGUCGAACGGACUGAUUCCUUCGGGAUGAAAGUUAGUGGCGAACGGGUGAGUAAUGUAUGAGCAACCUGCCUCUGUCAACGGGAUACCUACUGGAAACGGUAGUUAAUACGGUAUAUGACCACAGCAUCGCAUGGUGCAGCGGUGAAAGAUUUUUAUCGGACAGAGAUGAGCUUGCGUCUGAUUAGGUAGUUGGUGAGGUAACGGCCCACCAAGCCGACGAUCGGUAGCCGGACUGAGAGGGUGAACGGCCACAUUGGGACUGAGAUACGGCCCAGACUCCUACGGGAGGCAGCAGUGGGGAAUAUUGGGCAAUGGGGGAGACCCUGACCCAGCAACGCCGCGUGAAGGAAGAAGGUUUUCGGAUUGUAAACUUCUGUCCUAUGAGACGAAGGAAGUGACGGUAUCAUAGGAGGAAGCCCCGGCUAACUACGUG